rnacentral:rRNA from 1 species
GUGAGGAAUAAUGGACAAUGGAGGAAACUCUGAUCCAGCCAUGCCGCGUGAGUGAUGAAGGCCUUCGGGUUGUAAAGCUCUUUCGGGUGUGAAAAUGAUGAUGGUAACACCAGAAGAAGCCCCGGCUAACUCCGUGCCAGCAGCCGCGGUAAUACGGAGGGGGCGAGCGUUGUUCGGAAUCACUGGGCGUAAAGCGUGCGUAGGCGGUUAUACAAGUCAGGAGUGAAAUCCCAGGGCUCAACCUUGGAAUUGCUUUUGAGACUGUAUGACUAGAGAUCUAGAGAGGUUGGGGGAAUUCCGAGUGUAGAGGUGAAAUUCGCAGAUAUUCGGAGGAACACCAGUGGCGUAGGCGCCCAACUGGCUAGAUACUGACGCUGAGGCACGAAAGCGUGGGGAGCAAACAGGAUUAGAAACCCUAGUAGUCC